rnacentral:rRNA from 1 species
UACGAAGGGGGCUAGCGUUGUUCGGAAUUACUGGGCGUAAAGCGCACGUAGGCGGAUAUUUAAGUCAGGGGUGAAAUCCCGGGGCUCAACCCCGGAACUGCCUUUGAUACUGGGUAUCUAGAGUCCAGAAGAGGUGAGUGGAAUUCCGAGUGUAGAGGUGAAAAUUCGUAGAUAUUCGGAGGAACACCAGUGGCGAAGGCGGCUCACUGGUCUGGUACUGACGCUGAGGUGCGAAAGCGUGGGGAGCAAACAGG